rnacentral:rRNA from 1 species
CCUACGGGGGGCAGCAGUGGGGAAUAUUGCACAAUGGGGGAAACCCUGAUGCAGCGACGCCGCGUGAGUGAAGAAGUAUUUCGGUAUGUAAAGCUCUAUCAGCAGGGAAGAAAAAAGACGGUACCUGACUAUAAAGCCCCGGCUAACUACGUGCCAGCAGCCGCGGUGAUACGUAGGGGGCAAGCGUUAUCCGGAUUUACUGGGGGUAAAGGGGGCGUGGACGGCUGUGCAAGUCUGAAGUGUAAGGCCAGGGCUCAACCCAGGGACUGCUUUGGAGACUGUGGAGCUAGAGUGCUGGGGAGGUAAGUGGAAUUCCUAGUGUAGCGGUGAAAUGCGUAGAUAUUAGGAGGAACACCAGUGGCGAAGGCGGCUUACUGGACAGUAACUGACGUUGAGGCUCGAAAGCGUGGGGAGCAAACAGGAUUAGAUACCCUGGUAGUC